rnacentral:rRNA from 1 species
CUACGGGGCGCAGCAGUGAGGAAUAUUGCACAAUGGGGGGAACCCUGAUGCAGCAACGCCGCGUGGAGGAUGACGCAUUUCGGUGUGUAAACUCCUUUUAUAUGUCAAGAAAAUGACGGUAGCAUAUGAAUAAGCACCGGCUAACUCCGUGCCAGCAGCCGCGGCAAUACGGAGGGUGCAAGCGUUACUCGGAAUCACUGGGCGUAAAGGACGCGUAGGCGGGUUGGAAAGUCAGGUGUGAAAUCCUACAGCUUAACUGUAGAACUGCACUUGAAACUUCUAAUCUAGAGUAUGGGAGGGGGAGAUGGAAUUAGUGGUGUAGGGGUAAAAUCCGUAGAUAUCACUAGGAAUACCUAAAGCGAAGGCGAUCUCCUGGAACAUUACUGACGCUAAGGCGUGAAAGCGUGGGGAGCAAACAGGAUUAGAUACCCCAGUAGUC